AGAUUGAACGCUGGCGGCAGGCCUAACACAUGCAAGUCGAGCGGUAGAGAGGUGCUUGCAUCUCUUGAGAGCGGCGGACGGGUGAGUAAUGCCUAGGAAUCUGCCUAGCGGUGGGGGAUAACGUUCGGAAACGGACGCUAAUACCGCAUACGUCCUACGGGAGAAAGCGGGGGACCUUCGGGCCUCGCGCCAUUAGAUGAGCCUAGGUCGGAUUAGCUAGUUGGUGAGGUAAUGGCUCACCAAGGCGACGAUCCGUAACUGGUCUGAGAGGAUGAUCAGUCACACUGGAACUGAGACACGGUCCAGACUCCUACGGGAGCAGCAGUGGGGAAUA
rnacentral:rRNA from 1 species